rnacentral:misc_RNA from 2 species
UAGAGUUUUCUAAACUCCCAACCCAUGUGAACUUACCAUUGUUGCCUCGGCAGAAGCUACCUGGUUACCUUACCUUGGAACGGCCUACCCUGUAGCGCCUUACCCUGGAACGGCCUACCCUGUAACGGCUGCCGGUGGACUACCAAACUCUUGUUAUUAUAUUGUAAUCUGAGCGUCUUAUUUUAAUAAGUCA